rnacentral:ncRNA from 1 species
AUACUUAAAUAAUUAAUUUUUAUUAUAAAAUUUUAAUAAUUAAUUUUUAUUUUAAAUUAAAUAAUUUUAAAAUAAGUAAUAUUUAAAAAUUAUUAAUUAAAAUUGGGCCAGCAAUUGCGGUUAUACAAUUAAUAAAAAAUAAAUAAUUUUAAAUUUAAUUUAAAUUAAAAUAUUUUAAUUUAAAAAAUUAAUUUUAAUUAGUAAAAUAAUAAAAUUUAUAAUAAAAAUUAAUUAUUGAUAUUAUAUAUAAUUUAAAAUUAAAAAAUUUUUUUAAGACUAGGAUUAGAUACCCUAUUAUUUAAAUUAAUAAUCAUUUAAAUUUAAUUAGUAAAAUAAUUGAAAAUUAAAGAAUCUGACGGUAUUUAAAUCUUUUUAGAGGAAUUUGUAUAAUAAUUGAUAAUCCACAAUUUAUUAAACUUAUUAUUUUAAAUUUUGUAUAUCGUUGUUAUAAAAAUAUUUUUUAUAAAUUUAUUAAUAUUUAAAAUUUUAUAUUUAAAAUUAUAUCAAAUCAUGAUACAAAUAAUAUAAAUAAGAAAAAUAUGAAUUACAAUAAUAUUAAAAAUUAUAAUUUUUUUUAUGAAAUAAAAUAAAUUUAAAUUGGAUUUAAUUGUAAUUUAAAAUAUUUAUUUUAAAUGAUUAAAGUUUUUAAAUAUGUACAUAUUGCCCGUCACUCUUAUUAUAUAAAUAAUAUUAAUUAAGAUAAGUCGUAACAAAGUAGAAGUAUUGGAAAAUGUUUCUAGAAUUAAUAUU